rnacentral:rRNA from 1 species
UGGGGAAUAUUGCACAAUGGGCGCAAGCCUGAUGCAGCCAUGCCGCGUGUGUGAAGAAGGCCUUCGGGUUGUAAAGCACUUUCAGCGAGGAGGAAGGUGGUGAACUUAAUACGUUCAUCAAUUGACGUUACUCGCAGAAGAAGCACCGGCUAACUCCGUGCCAGCAGCCGCGGUAAUACGGAGGGUGCAAGCGUUAAUCGGAAUUACUGGGCGUAAAGCGCACGCAGGCGGUUUGUUAAGUCAGAUGUGAAAUCCCCGGGCUCAACCUGGGAACUGCAUUUGAAACUGGCAAGCUAGAGUCUCGUAGAGGGGGGUAGAAUUCCAGGUGUAGCGGUGAAAUGCGUAGAGAUCUGGAGGAAUACCGGUGGCGAAGGCGGCCCCCUGGACGAAGACUGACGCUCAGGUGCGAAAGCGUGGGGAGCAAAACAGGAUUAGAUACCCUGGUAGUCCACGCUGUAAAACGAUGUCGAUUUUGGAGGUUGUGCCCUUGAGGCGUGGCUUCCGGAGCUAACGCGUUAAAUCGACCGCCUGGGGAGUACGGCCGCAAGGUUAAAACUUAAAGGAAUUGACGGGGUCUAGCUG